CCAUCGGAUCGCUUCAUCAGCCCUGGAUGCCCUCGUCAUUUUAGUUUUACGUUAUAGGGCGUAUUCAUCCUUUUGUAAAUUUUUGUGCUGUAAUCUUAACGUUCAGAUAAACUCCUAAUACUAUAUUAAUGAAAAAUUAAAAUGUCCUCGGCAAAGAUUCAAGAAGCAGAACGAAUUGUGAAGCAACUUCAGUAUGAAUCGAGUAAAUGUCAAAGGAUAAUGGUUUCACAGGCUAGCAACGAAUUAUUGGAAUUCUGCAACACUCAAGUAGCAGGCGAUUAUCUCAUUUAUAAGCCACCGAAGCAGCCUAAUCCUUGGAAAGCAGAAAAGGGAAUUUGCAACUUGAUUUGAUAUUUUUGGAAUAUUCUUCCGAACUCAUCAUAUUUAUGAACGUUCAAAUGUCAGACUCCACAAUAAAGCAAAAAAAAUGGGCAUCUAUUUUACUACGGCACGGUGAUGCCUAUGUUAUAACUUUUUCGAAAAAGGCUGUUUUCUUCACCACCAAAUAUUUUAUUGUAAUCGAUAUAUUUUAUACGAGAUAUAUUACCUUUUUAUCUAAAUAGAACAACUUGUUGUCGCGACUCUCCAGCAUUGCUACCACUGUCAGUCGGUGAACUGCGCGGGAAUUUUCACAAGACGCUUUUGUCACUCCCACCAUGGUGGUUAUAUUAAAUCAAUACUCAGUUCUAAGAAUUGAUUUCGAUGUUUGUUUUAAUGUUGUACAUUUAUUACCCCGUCUGUUAUACUCACUCUGAGUGCAAUAUGGCGACACUCCGUUUCUAAAAUGACGUAUGAGUUGCAAACGUCGAUACUUAAUAACAUGUAGAUUACGUAUUGGAAAAUGUGUAAAACUGGCACUCUAUUUUAGUUUCUGAUAUGACGUAUACGUUGCUAACUCGUUGCAAAUGUCGAUACUUAAUAACAUGUAGAUUACGUGUGAAUUUUGUGGCUGUGAGAUUGGAAAAUGUGCAAAAUGGCAUAUUUAGUAGCACACAAUCGUAGUUACAAUUUUAUUAAUUAAUUUCAUUACGCAUCGCUUGUUCAAUGACGUUAUUGUUUAUAAACAAUUUUUGAAAAUCAUGUAGUGAAAAUAUUUUUGUAUCUAGCGUGGUGAAAUAACAUUUAUCAAUUAAGCCAAAACAAAAAUACCACAACGAAACAAGCUACCCAGGAAUACAGACUUGCCGACCAAUAUUGAGGGAUUCAAUUCAUUGUUAGACGAUGGUAUAUUCUAUGUUUAUGAGAUAACAUUUACUUAUAUAUGGUAUAAUUGAUGUCAGAGUUGGACCAGAAGUCUUUGGUGUUUGCCCCAUUCGUGUUAUAUAUAUAUAUAAAAUUUCAUUACCGCGAAAUAAUAUUUUAUGCACGAGAGAUGGAGCAGCAAUUUAAUAUUUCAUUAGGUAUAUGUGAAUUUGUAUUGUUGGACAUGUUUAUCACUUAUCAGAAAGAAUUUUGAAUCUCUGUUACUUCCUAAACUCAUUUGCGCACAAAUAUAAAGUUUGCACUAUGUUUGUCAGUGUUUAAUUAAA